UACGGAAGGCAGCAGUGGGGAAUAUUGCACAAUGGGCGCAAGCCUGAUGCAGCCGUGCCGCGUGUAUGAAGAAGGCCUUCGGGUUGUAAAGUACUUUCAGUCGUGAGGAAGGUGUUAAGGUUAAUAACCUUAGCAAUUGACGUUAGCGACAGAAGAAGCACCGGCUAACUCCGUGCCAGCAGCCGCGGUAAUACGGAGGGUGCGAGCGUUAAUCGGAAUUACUGGGCGUAAAGGGCACGCAGGCGGUUAAUUAAGUUGGAUGUGAAAUCCCCGGGCUUAACCUGGGAAUGGCAUUCAAGACUGGUUAGCUAGAGUCUUGUAGAGGGGGUAGAAUUCCAUGUGUAGCGGUGAAAUGCGUAGAGAUGUGGAGGAAUACCGGUGGCGAAGGCGGCCCCCUGGACAAAGACUGACGCUCAUGUGCGAAAGCGUGGGGAGCAAACAGGGAUUAGAUACC
rnacentral:rRNA from 1 species